CGGGUGGUAAUGCCGGAUGCUCCGACUCCUCGCAUGGGGUGUCGGGAAAGAUUUCAUCGGUAUGGGAUGGGGUCGCGUCCUAUCAGGUAGUCGGCGGGGUAACGGCCCACCGAGCCUACGACGGGUAGCCGGCCUGAGAGGGCGACCGGCCACAUUGGGACUGAGAUACGGCCCAGACUCCUACGGGAGGCAGCAGUGGGGAAUAUUGCACAAUGGGCGCAAGCCUGAUGCAGCGACGCCGCGUGCGGGAUGACGGCCUUCGGGUUGUAAACCGCUUUUGAUCGGGAGCAAGCCUUCGGGUGAGUGUACCUUUCGAAUAAGCACCGGCUAACUACGUGCCAGCAGCCGCGGUAAUACGUAGGGUGCAAGCGUUAUCCGGAAUUAUUGGGCGUAAAGGGCUCGUAGGCGGUUCGUCGCGUCCGGUGUGAAAGUCCAUCGCUUAACGGUGGAUCUGCGCCGGGUACGGGCGGGCUGGAGUGCGGUAGGGGAGACUGGAAUUCCCGGUGUAACGGUGGAAUGUGUAGAUAUCGGAAAAGAACACC
rnacentral:rRNA from 1 species